AGCUCCGGGAAGCGGCGCGCUCGGACACGCCCCCAGCUCGGCUCGGCGCAUGCUCAUUGUGGGGGGGGGUCAUCAGGAGCCGAGCACCAGAGCAGACCAGGGACCAGGAGCUGGUGUUUUUCCGAACUGAUGUCCGUGUAUGGCCUGGGAACCCUUUGUCUCAACAUGAUCUGGAAUGCUCGUUAGAUCAAACUCCAGACUUUCAGACUCUGAAGUGGAGCCCAGAAUCUGCACAUCUAACAUUGUACACUAAAGCUGAAACCUUCUCUGAUGUUACACACCCAA